AUGCCGGGCCUUUUUAGGUCUGACAAUUGGAAUGAGUACAAUUUAAAUCCCUUAACGAGAAACCACUGGAGGGAAAGGCUGGUGCCAGCAGCCGCGGUAAUACCAGCUCCAGUAGCGUAUAUUAAAAUUGUUGCAGUUAAAAAGCUCGUAGUUGGAUUUCUGGCUCGUUGCCCUAGCCCGCUCACUUCGGUGGGUGAGUGCUGGUGCAAUCUGCCAUCCUUCCAGAGAGCCAUGAGUACCAUUUACUUGGCCGCUCGUGUGCGAUCUGGAUCAUUUACUUUGAAAAAAUUAGAGUGUUUAAAGCAGGCUUACGCCUUGAAUACAUUAGCAUGGAAUAAUAACAUAGGACUUCGGUUCUAUUUUGUUGGUUUCUAGGACCUUAGUAAUGAUUGAUAGGGAUAGUUGGGGGUGCUAGUAUUCAGCGGCCAGAGGUGAAAUUCUUGGAUUCGCUGGAGACUAACUACUGCGAAAGCAUUCACCAAGGAUGUCUUCUUUAAUCAAGAACGAAAGUUGGGGGAUCGAAGACGAUCAGAUACCGCCGUAGUCUCAACCAUAAACUAUACCGACUAAGGAUCAGCGGGCGUCUCUUUUUGACCCCGUUGGCACUUUAUGAGAAAUCAAAGUCUUUGGGUUCCGGGGGGAGUAUGGUCGCAAGGCUGAAACUUAAAGGAAUUGACGAAGGGCACCACCAGGAGUGGAGCCUGCGGCUUAAUUUGACCCAACACGGGAAAACUUACCAGGUCCAGACAUAGUGAGGAUUGACAGAUUGAAGAUCUUUCUUGAUUCUAUGGGUGGUGGUGCAUGGCCGUUCCUAGUUGGUGGAGUGAUUUGUCUGGUUAAUUCCGUUAACGAACGAGACCUCGACCUGCUAAAUAGUGAUAUUUUUGCUUUGCAAGGAUUGUCACUUCUUAGAGGGACUAUUGGUAACUAGCCAAUGGAAGUUCGAGGCAAUAACAGGUCUGUGAUGCCCUUAGAUGUUCUGGGCCGCACGCGCGCUACACUGACACGUUCAUCAAGCUUACAACCUUGGCCGAGAGGUCUGGGUAAUCUUAUGAAAGCGUGUCGUGAUGGGGAUAGAUUAUUGUAAUUUUUAAUCUUCAACGAGGAAUUCCUAGUAAGCGCAAGUCAUCAGCUUGCAUUGAUUACGUCCCUGCCCUUUGUACACACCGCCCGUCGCUGCUACCGAUUGGAUGAUUUAGUGAGGUCCACGGACUGUUGCAUUUGGUGGUUCGCCUCCUUUUGCAGUUUGGAAGUGGGACAAACUUGAUCAUCUAGAGGAAGCAAAAGUCGUAACAAGG
rnacentral:rRNA from 1 species